GUGCCAGCCGCCGCGGUAAUACAGAGGUGGCGAGCGUUGUUCGGAUUUACUGGGCGUAAAGGGCGCGUAGGCGGCCGGUCGUGUCGGGUGUGAAAUCCAUGGGCCCAACCCAUGAAGUGCGCCCGAAACUGCCCGGCUGGAGUGCGGGAGGGGAGAUCGGAAUGCAUGGUGUAGCGGUGGAAUGCGUUGAUAUCAUGCAGAACACCGGUGGCGAAGGCGGAUCUCUGGAACGCUACUGACGCUGAGGCGCGAAAGCAGGGGGAGCAAACAGGAUUAGAUACCCUGGUAGUCCCUGCCCUAAACGGUGCGCGCUUGGGGUGGGGGGAUUUCACCCCCCCCGUCCCGGAGCUAACGCGUUAAGCGCGCCGCCUGGGGAGUACGGCCGCAAGGCUAAAACUCAAAUAAAUUGACGG
rnacentral:rRNA from 1 species